UGUAUGUAUGUAUGCAUGUGCCUGCAUGGAUACAUGUAUGUGUAUGUAUGAUUGUAUACAUAUAU
rnacentral:pre_miRNA from 1 species